GAUCAUUUUGAGCAAAAAAAGAAACACAACAGUUGCCAAGGAAGUAAAAGAAUCAUCCUGUAGAGCCGACAUCCUGUUUUGUGUCUUCUUGUUCUCCAACUGUGUUCAUCAUUCUG